rnacentral:piRNA from 2 species
UUUAGUAGUAAAUUAAGAAUAGAGAGC